ACACUGGCAUGAGCUUUCAACGUUGAAAAAAUAAAUGAAAACUCUCUGGAAAUAAUAGGAGCACUGUGUCCUGGAACCCGAAGAAUAAUAAUCCCAGGCCAUAGUCAUCCAAGCUGAAAACAGUUUCUUCCUCUCUCUUUGCUGGGCCUAGGAUGGCAGGACACAGACCCUUAGCCCAGGAGUGAUUUGCAUCCCUGCCGGGGACACAGAAGAGGCUGCGUCCACCACGGCUGAAAAUG
rnacentral:lncRNA from 1 species